GGCCGAAGGGCUAGCGUCGGGCCGUUGCCUCGGGCGCCGCCUGCACGGAUGCAAGCCGAGGGCUGCGGCGUCGCCACUGCCCGGGCUGUGGACCGCGCUGCCGCGUGCCUGAGGGCAUCGCCAUGCCUGGCACCGGCCGUUGGCCGCUGCGGCCGCCUCCAGGUGUAGCGCUGGGAGCAGCCGGGCCGAAGGAUGCUACCGCUCCGCUAGGAGGCUGGCCGAGGGAGCGCUGUCCAGGCCAUGGGUCGCCGACGAAGUUUGCCUUGGAUGGCAUUCAAACGACGCCCUGGAGAUCGUGAGACUUGCCGCGCCUGGGUGGGUGCUGGCUGCCGCCGUCUUCGCCGACCGAUGUGCCGUGAGCGGCCAUGGGGCGUGGAGACGCGUCGUGCGCCACCAUGGCGUGGGGGCCGUGGCCGGUAGCCGCCGGGAGCCACGGCUGCGUGUGUAGGCGAAGGAGCCGAACAUCGGAUGUUGGCUCGCCGUGUCAGCCUCUGGGGCCGAGGGGCGCCGUGCAGCACGCGCAGGCCGGAGGGAGCGUCACUGCGGAGGGCCGGCCGUCUCGCAGCGCCUUGGUGCCGCAUCCGCCGCCGUUCUUCCGCUGUGACCUAUUUCUCUAAUCGAGAGUGGAGUGCGUGAUAACGUGUUCGAGAUCGAUAGAACAAAUGAUUGAACUAUCUCUUUGCAUUA